ensembl:lncRNA
CACAAAGGAGAGUCAGAAGUUGUGCAGGGGAGGUGACUGUCACCCUGAGGCCUAAACAGAGACAGAAGACUGAGAAGAUUCUUGCAGUUCUGGACAAUAGCACCUGUAAACACAGUUCCCCCGUGAGACUGAUUAGGACCAGCUUAAAAAGGUGGAUGGGGCUUCCCAGGUGGAGCUAGUGAUAAAGAACCUGCCUGCCAAUACAGGAGACACAAAAAAUGUGGGUUCAACACCUGGGUCAUAAAGAUCCCCUGGAGUAGGAAGUGCCACUCCAUUCCAGUAUUCUUGCCUGGAGAAUUCCUUGGACAGAGAAGCCUGGCAGGCUACAGUCCAUGGGGCCACAAAGAAUCAGAUGCAACUGAGCACACACAAAAAAGGUGGAUACCAUAUUAUGGUCAUCCUGCUGCUGCUGCUGCUGCUGCUGCUAAGUCGCUUCAGUCGUGUCCGACUCUGUGAGAUCCCAUAGAUGGCAGCCCACCAGGCUCCCCCAUCCGUAGGAUUCUCCAGGAGGGAUGAUUUAUUGGAAAGGCUCUUCUUCUUCACUGCAUUGCAGUAUCAUAAACAGGAAUCUGCUUCUGAACUCUGUUUUUCCCUUUGGUUCUGAACUGCACUGUUUUUUGGAGGAAACAGUUUUGUGCUGGUGCCUUGAUGAUCUUACAGGUGUAUAUUCACAAAGACCACUUAAGCAAAGAUUGACCCACG